AUACUUACUUGGUAUAGAUAGGGCAUACCGUGAUCAUGCAGGCGGUUCCCCCAGGGUGAGGCUGCUCCUUUGCACUGCGGAGAGGUUGACCCUUGCGAUUAUUUUUAUUUUUUUCAAUAAAAAAAUCAUAAUAAAAUAUGUAUACCCGAUUAAUUAUUUUUUUUA